rnacentral:lncRNA from 1 species
GUUUUCGCACAAAUUCUCGCGUCUUGGACAUGUGCCACUGCCGUGUGGGUCCUCGUCCUCAUUUCGCAGCAAAGCAGCGCAUGUUCGUCCCGCAACCAACACCACGCUUUGACGAUGCGCUUUCAUCCAUUGGCUCGGGUCUCUUAGAUCCAACGCGAGAAUAUGGUGUACUAAUGGCAAGCUGUUCUUCUCUUUUCUUUUCCAAUGGCAAGCUAUUUUCGUCUCUCUUUCAGUACUCGAUCUUUCACUGGAGUAACUUUUUUCCGCGUUUCGCCUCGACAUGGAAUGAUUAAGAAGACUUGGUGAGCUCUUCAGUUUUUUAUUUUAUUUUGUUCGAUCUGUUUCCAGAUUUUUGAGCUUCCAACGUGAUCUUUCCCUGGAAUAUCUUAUGCUGCCAGAUGUUCCCAAAGGUUAUUUUUUCUUGUUUCCGGUCACAAGCACCGAAGCAAAGCAUCAUUUGUUUUUUCUUGCUUGCCAGCUACAAAGGCGCAGCAACAGUGACACGGAGAAGUAAAGCUGCGCUAUCGUGUGCUCCAGCCAGGACUAAGAUCCAAAACUUUUAUACUUUAUAAUCGAAAUAGACGCAAAUAGACAUCAAAGAUUGGAAAUAUAAGUUGCA